ACCUCUCAAUGGCACUCACCAUGGGACUUUGCAGCACCUAGCCUGAGCACUCCAGCAGCCCAAAGGGAACUCAUUCCCCGAUCAAGCCCAGCAGGCACCAGCCAGCUGCACCGAGUGUGGGGCCCACCGAGUGUGGGGUCCACCGAGCCCACACCCACCCGGAUCCUGCACCAGCCCAUGAGCGCCACACACAGCCCCAGCUCCUGCCCGCACCUCUCCCUCCACAUCUCCCUACAAGCAGAGGGAGCCGGCUCCAGCCUCAGCCAGCUCCAGAGAGGGGCCCCCACAGUGCAGCAGCGGGCUGAAGGGCUCCUUGAGCGUGGCCAGAGUGGAUGCCAAGGCCAAGGAGGCUCCGAGAGCAAGCAAGGGCUGCUAGCACGUUGUCACCCCUCAAUCCCCCCUCUAUACAGGACACCCCAACUGCUCUUUGGAAUUUGGCUGAUGACCACUCUAGCUACUUCCUGCUGGAUAGAGGCGAAGAAGGGGCCCUGCAGUUGUAGUGUCCUCCAGAGCGGAACUCUUUAGGCCAGGGGAACUCUUUAGUCCUCUCAAAAAGUGGUCUGGUGCAAUUACCAAGUAAAACACAAGACAGCCCCUUGUGGAAAUUUAGCAAGACAAAGGAUUAAAAUCAACAUGGGAGGUAUAAAAAUAUGUUUUAGCAGCAAACACUCUUUCCUUAGGAAUCAAGAAAGCAGAGUACAACCCGGAGAGCCUUAAACCAGGACUUUGCUCCACCCUGACACGAGGAUUAACCAUGAAGAUUGAGAGAAGGUGGAUGUAAUGGCACCAAUCCAUGGAAAAUCCAAAAGGGUGAUCAUAAUGAAGAAAGAACUGCUGGGUGAAAAUUAGAGUCAUUGCUCUAAGGAUAUGCCCUGCAAUGAGAAAGAAAAUGUCAUGCUGGGAAUUACACUAACUCAUAUAAGUUUUCAAGAGAGUUUAAUGGAAUUUUUAACUAAAAAUAUUCUCAUUUUACAAGGUAAUUCACAAAUAAAAUAUAAUUCAAA
rnacentral:lncRNA from 1 species